rnacentral:rRNA from 1 species
UACGUAGGGGGCUAGCGUUGUCCGGAAUCAUUGGGCGUAAAGAGCGUGUAGGCGGCUCGGUAAGUCCGCUGUGAAAGUCCAGGGCUCAACCCUGGAAUGCCAGUGGAAACUGUCGAGCUAGAGUCCGGAAGAGGCGAGUGGAAUUCCUGGUGUAGCGGUGAAAUGCGCAGAUAUCAGGAGGAACACCAAUGGCGAAGGCAGCUCGCUGGGACGGUACUGACGCUGAGACGCGAAAGCGUGGGAGCAAACAGG